rnacentral:rRNA from 1 species
UACGUAGGGGGCUAGCGUUGUCCGGAAUCAUUGGGCGUAAAGCGCGUGUAGGCGGUCCGGUAAGUCCGCUGUGAAAGUCGGGGGCUCAACCCUCGGAUGCCGGUGGAUACUGUCGGGCUUGAGUACGGAAGAGGCGAGUGGAAUUCCUGGUGUAGCGGUGAAAUGCGCAGAUAUCAGGAGGAACACCCGUGGCGAAAGCGGCGCGCUGGACCACUACUGACGCUGAGGAACGAAAGCUAGGGGAGCAAACAGG